UACGGGGGGAGCAAGCGUUGUUCGGAUUUACUGGGCGUAAAGGGCGCGUAGGCGGCCACCGCAAGUCAGUUGUGAAAUCUCUGGGCUUAACCCAGAAAGGUCAACUGAUACUGCGGGGCUAGAGUGCAGAAGGGGCAACUGGAAUUCUCGGUGUAGCGGUGAAAUGCGUAGAGAUCCGGAAGAACACCGGUGGCGAAGGCGGCCUGCUGGGCAGUAGCUGACACUGAGGCGCGACAGCGUGGGGAGCGAACAGG
rnacentral:rRNA from 1 species